rnacentral:misc_RNA from 1 species
UUCCUCACAGACAUCAGGCCACAUGACACUUCUGCUUGAGCAGUACCGAACAUCGUUCGAAUGUGUUGGGACAUUAGUCGUGGGCAAGUAAGGGUUGACGACCUGGUGCCCCUAGUGUAUUCCGCACCCUAAAGCCUGAACGAUAAAUAUAAGUCAUGUGCCAGAUGAUAGCGCUAAGUGCAUGUGUCAGGGAACACGACCAUCGCCAUGAGAUUCACCCGAGCUGUACCGUGUAAACGGUCAGCCCUAGGCGAAUAAGGUACAAUUGCCGAUAGAAUUCCAUUGAAGUAGGUAUGCAACACAGGAAACUGAUUGGACGACCAAGGCAAUGUAGCACUUGUGCCUAACAAUGAAGAGGAUAGCACGAUUGGACGAUACUGAGCUAAGUAGAGA